CUGACAAGAAUUGCUUGAGUCUGAAUACAAAGAGUGUGAAUGACCUCUUCACCUGCAAGUUAGAACUGACUCUGGAUCAAGUGCAGGACAGUGGAGCUUCCUUGGUGUUGCUCUUUCUAUACUAGUUUCCAGGUGAUCAAUCAAGUGUUACUGGUUGCUUAUGUCAUCCAACAGAUCAGAGUGCCUCAAGGCACCACCAAGUACCUUCUCAGCCAGUAGAGGUCAACUCUCCAGAGAGAAGUCAAGUUAUGCUGGUGGGCCAGUGUGAGGAGCACUGCUCAUGCUAUACCUUUCUGUGAAUGAAAAGGACCACAAUUUCCAAGGCUGCCAAUCCGGCACCUUUCAA